CCUACGGGAGGCAGCAGUGGGGGAUAUUGCACAAUGGGGGGAACCCUGAUGCAGCGACGCCGCGUGGGUGAAGAAGCGCCUCGGCGCGUAAAGCCCUGUCAGCAGGGAAGAAAAUGACGGUACCUGAAGAAGAAGCCCCGGCUAACUACGUGCCAGCAGCCGCGGGAAUACGUAGGGGGCAAGCGUUAUCCGGAUUUACUGGGUGUAAAGGGGGCGGAGACGGCGCUGCAAGCCAGGAGUGAAAGCCCGGGGCCCAACCCCGGGACUGCUCUUGGAACUGCGUGGCUGGAGUGCAGGAGGGGCAGGCGGAAUUCCUGGUGUAGCGGUGAAAUGCGUAGAUAUCAGGAGGAACCCCGGUGGCGAAGGCGGCCUGCUGGACUGCAACUGACGUUGAGGCCCGAAAGCGUGGGGAGCAAACAGGAUUAGAUACCCCGGUAGUC
rnacentral:rRNA from 1 species